rnacentral:rRNA from 1 species
CACUCCUACGGGAGGCAGCAGUGGGGAAUAUUGCACAAUGGGCGCAAGCCUGAUGCAGCCAUGCCGCGUGUAUGAAGAAGGCCUUCGGGUUGUAAAGUACUUUCAGCGGGGAGGAAGGCGAUAAGGUUAAUAACCUUGUCGAUUGACGUUACCCGCAGAAGAAGCACCGGCUAACUCCGUGCCAGCAGCCGCGGUAAUACGGAGGGUGCAAGCGUUAAUCGGAAUUACUGGGCGUAAAGCGCACGCAGGCGGUCUGUCAAGUCGGAUGUGAAAUCCCCGGGCUCAACCUGGGAACUGCAUUCGAAACUGGCAGGCUAGAGUCUUGUAGAGGGGGGUAGAAUUCCAGGUGUAGCGGUGAAAUGCGUAGAGAUCUGGAGGAAUACCGGUGGCGAAGGCGGCCCCCUGGACAAAGACUGACGCUCAGGUGCGAAAGCGUGGGGAGCAAACAGGAUUAGAAACCCUAGUAGUCCCA